rnacentral:rRNA from 1 species
UACAGAGGGUGCAAGCGUUAAUCGGAAUUACUGGGCGUAAAGCGUGCGUAGACGGUUAUUUAAGUCAGGUGUGAAAGCCCCGGGCUCAACCUGGGAAUUGCAUUUGAGACUGAAUAGCUAGGGUGCGGAAGAGGGAAGCGGAAUUUCCGGUGGAGCGGUGAAAUGCGUUGAGAUCGGAAGGAACGCCCGUGGCGAAAGCGAGUUCCUGGACGUCGGCUGACGCUGAGACGCGAAAGCCAGGGGAGCGAACGGG